GGGCCCGAGUUGUAAUUUGCAGAGGAUGCUUCGGCGCCGGCCCCGGCCUAAGUUCCUUGGAACAGGACGUCGCAGAGGGUGAGAAUCCCGUACGCGGCCGGCGGCCCCCGCCAUGUGAAGCUCCUUCGACGAGUCGAGUUGUUUGGGAAUGCAGCUCUAAAUGGGAGGUAAAUUUCUCCUAAGGCUAAAUACCGGCCAGAGACCGAUAGCGCACAAGUAGAGUGAUCGAAAGAUGAAAAGCACUUUGGAAAGAGAGUUAAAAAGUACGUGAAAUUGUUGAAAGGGAAGCGCUUGCAACCAGACCUGCCCGCGGUUGUUCAUCCAGGCUCCCGCCUGGUGCACUCCUCCGCGGUCAGGCCAGCAUCGGUUCGGGCGGUCGGACAAAGGCGGUGGGAACGUGGCUCCCCCCGGGGAGUGUUAUAGCCCGCCGCGCAAUGCGGCCAGCCGGGACCGAGGUCCGCGCUUCGGCUAGGAUGCUGGCGUAAUGGUUGCAAGCGGCCCGUCUUGAAA
rnacentral:rRNA from 1 species